UUUGUCUUACUGACAGAGUAUGUGGAAUGCAUAAUAAACGGUCAUCAAGUAUGACACUGGAUUCUUCUGAAACGAUCCUGCUAAGCCUGUGGGAGUUAGGCCUGACCAUAUUUCGGACUCUGAUGAAUUAGAAUUCCUCUUGGCUUAUCCUAAUGGUAAACGAAUGAACAUUCCAUUGGAGAAAGAGGAAAAGCUCCUCAAUUAUUAUUGAAUUCUUAUCUGUGGCAAUCCAUACUGUAUUCUGUGUAGUUUUCCUGUAUGGAGUAAAAUGAUUACUUGCUUUUUCUACCGUUUGAUUUUUGAAGGAGAUAGCCCAUGAGUGUCCUUCACGUCCCAUGCUUUGUUCUCAGGCAUCUGACCGGGCUUUCUCUCGCCAUGCUGCGUUACGACUACAGCUGAGUGUCCUCGCUCCGUCGCCACUGCCCCCCUCCCCCUCACCCCAGAUGACCCAAGCCUGUGUAGAUGAGGCAUCCAGCCCAGCGUCCAGGGAUUUACCCGAGUGUGUCUGAAGGCAGAAGACAGCUGUGUAGUGGGCUCUGCUAACAUAAUGCAGGUUAAUCUGUUCGUCUGAUUGGCUUGGUUUUGGGAAAAGCUGGCAAGGCCCUUUUUCUGACGGCUGGAGAGCAGAUCCCAUCCCUGAGAA
rnacentral:lncRNA from 1 species